rnacentral:rRNA from 1 species
CCUACGGGUGGCAGCAGUGAGGAAUAUUGGUCAAUGGACGAGAGUCUGAACCAGCCAAGUAGCGUGAAGGAUGACUGCCCUAUGGGUUGUAAACUUCUUUUAUAAAGGAAUAAAACGAGGCACGUGUGCCUUUUUGUAUGUACUUUAUGAAUAAGGAUCGGCUAACUCCGUGCCAGCAGCCGCGGUAAUACGGAGGAUCCGAUCUGUAUCCGGCUUUAUUGGGUUUAAAGGGAGCGUAGAUGGGUUGUUAAGUCAGUUGUGAAAGUUUGCGGCUCAACCGUAAAAUUGCAAUUGAUACUGGCAGUCUUGAGUACAGUUGAGGUAGGCGGAAUUCGUGGUGUAGCGGUGAAAUGCUUAGAUAUCACGAAGAACUCCGAUUGAGAAGGCAGCUUACUAAACUGCCACUGACAUUGAUGCUCGAAAGUGUGGGUAUCAAACAGGAUUAGAUACCCCGGUAGUC